rnacentral:rRNA from 1 species
AUUGAACGCUGGCGGCAUGCUUUACACAUGCAAGUCGAACGGUAACAGGUUAAGCUGACGAGUGGCGAACGGGUGAGUAAUGCAUCGGAACGUGCCCGGUCGUGGGGGAUAACGCAGCGAAAGCUGCGCUAAUACCGCAUACGAUCUGAGGAUGAAAGUGGGGGACCGUAAGGCCUCGCGCGAUCGGAGCGGCCGAUGUCAGAUUAGGUAGUUGGUGGGGUAAAGGCUCACCAAGCCAACGAUCUGUAGCUGGUCUGAGAGGACGACCAGCCACACUGUGACUGAGACACGGCCCAGACUCCUACGGGAGGCAGCAGUGGGGAAUUUUGGACAAUGGGCGAAAGCCUGAUCCAGCAAUGCCGCGUGCAGGAAGAAGGCCUUCGGGUUGUAAACUGCUUUUGUACGGAGCGAAAAGGUCUCCUCUAAUACAGGGGGCUCAUGACGGUACCGUAAGAAUAAGCACCGGCUAACUACGUGCCAGCCGCCGCAGUAA